UACGGGGGGAGCAAGCGUUGUUCGGAUUUACUGGGCGUAAAGGGCGCGUAGGCGGCACUGUUAGUCAGGCGUGAAAGUCCUGGGCUCAACCUGGGAACUGCGCUUGAUACGGCAGAGCUAGAGGAUGGAAGAGGCUCGCGGAAUUCCCAGUGUAGGGGUGAAAUUCGUAGAUAUUGGGAAGAACACCGGUGGCGAAGGCGGCGAGCUGGUCCAUUACUGACGCUGAGACACGAAAGCGUAGGUAGCGAAUGGG
rnacentral:rRNA from 1 species